CCCUUAGAUGUUCUGGGCCGCACGCGCGCUACACUGAUGCAUUCAACGAGUCUAAAACCUGCUCUGAUAGGGGUGGGUAAUCUUUUGAAUGUGUAUCGUGAUUGGGAUAGAUGAUUGCAAUUUUUCAUCUUCAACGAGGAAUGCCUAGUAAACGCAAGUCAUCAGCUUGCAUUGAUUACGUCCCUGCCCUUUGUACACACCGCCCGUCGCUCCUACCGAUUGAAUGAUCCGAUGAAUAUCAUGGAUUGAGGAUUAUAGCAGGUUCGCCUGUCUUGAUCUUCGAGAAGUGAAGUAAAUCUUAUCAUUUAGAGGAAGGAGAAGUCGUAACA
rnacentral:rRNA from 1 species